rnacentral:lncRNA from 1 species
AUGUUGGAGAAUAAUUAUACCAUGCAGACUGAGUUCCUACUUGUUGGAUUCACAGAUUAUCUACCUCUCAUAUUCUUGGUAUUUCUCAUAGUCUAUACACUAACUGUGGUGGGAAAUGUAGGUUUAAUAAUUUUAGUUAAUAUCAAUUCAAGCCUUCAAACCCCCAUGUAUUAUUUUCUCAGCAACUUGUCUUUCUUAGACAUUAGCUACUCAACAGCAAUCCCUCCUAAAAUGCUGGCAAAUUUCUUAGCAUCCAAGCAAAGCAUUUCCCUCUAUGGUUGUGUGCUACUGAUAUUUUUCUUUGGUUGUUUUGCUGAUGCUGAAUGCCUUAUCCUGGCAGCAAUGACCUAUGACCGCUAUGCAGGCAUCUGCAAUCCACUGCUCUAUUCUGCUCUUGUGUCUGGGAGAGUCUGUGUCUGCUGCAUUGCGUUGGUGUACUUCAGGGGGAUGUGACUUCAAAGGUCCAUGUCUGCCUCACAUUCAGGCUGCCAUAUUGUGGCUCCAAUGUCAUCAACCAUUUUUUCUGUGAUAUCCCACCUCUCCUGGCUUUAUCCUGCACAGACACCUACCUCAAUGAGCUUCUGCUCUUUGCCUUGUGUAGCUUCAUCUAGACAGUGCUUUUGUGGUCAUCUUUAUCUCAUACAUCUGUAUCCUCCUCACUGUUUUGAGCAUCAAGUCCUCAGGUGCAAGAAGCAAAACCUUCUCUACCUGUGCCUCCCAUCUCAUAGCAAUCACCUUAUUCUAUGGAGCACUCCUGUUUAUGUACUUGCAUCCCAGUAUCAGCUACUCCCUAGACACUGACAAAGUAGUUGCAGUGUUUUAUACGGUUGUCUUUCCCAUGUUUAAUCCAGUAAUCUACAACUUCAGAAACAAAGAUGUAAAAAAUGCCCUCAGAAAGCUAUUGGACAGA